UUGCCAAGAAMUAACAAGGAUUCCCCUAGUAACUGCGAGUGAAGCGGGAAAAGCUCAAAUUUAAAAUCUGGCAGUCUUCGAUUGUCCGAGUUGUAAUCUGGAGAAGUGCUUUCCGCGCCGGACCGUGUACAAGUCUCUUGGAAUAGAGCGUCAUAGAGGGUGAGAAUCCCGUCUUUGACACGGACUACUGGUGCUUUGUGAUGCGCUUUCAAAGAGUCGAGUUGUUUGGGAAUGCAGCUCAAAAUGGGUGGUAAAUUCCAUCUAAAGCUAAAUAUUGGCGAGAGACCGAUAGCGAACAAGUACCGUGAGGGAAAGAUGAAAAGCACUUUGGAAAGAGAGUUAAACAGUACGUGAAAUUGCUGAAAGGGAAACACUUGAAGUCAGUCGCGUCGUUCAGAACUCAGCCUGGCCUUGGCCUGGUGCAUUUUCUGAAUGACGGGCCAGCAUCAAUUUCGACUGUUGGAUAAAGGUUGGGGAAAUGUGGCUUCUUCGGGAGUGUUAUAGUCCUYGGCUGCAUACAAUGGUUGGGAUUGAGGAACUCAGCAUGCCUUUAUGGUCGGGGUUCGCCCACGUUCAUGCUUAGGAUGCUGGCGUAAUGGCUUUAAAUGACCCGUCUUGAAACACGGACCAAGGAGUCUAACAUGCCUGCAAGUGUUUGGGUGGAAAACCCGAGCGCGCAAUGAAAGUGAAAGUUGGGAUCCCUGUCGUGGGGAGCACCGACGCCCGGACCAGACCUUCUGUGACGGAUCCGCGGUGGAGCAUGUAUGUUGGGACCCGAAAGAUGGUGAACUAUGCCUGAAUAGGGUGAAGCCAGAGGAAACUCUGGUGGAGGCUCGUAGCGAUUCUGACGUGCAAAUCGAUCGUCAAAUUUGGGUAUAGGGGCGAAAGACUAAUCGAACCAUCU
rnacentral:rRNA from 1 species